CUGGGACACACGACCUCAGAAGGACUGAAUAGAAGCCUGGUAGCAGGAUGAGUAAUAGGAAUUAUUUGGGGGCUCAUACACACACAUACACACAUUUGAAGCCUGGCACAUGAACCCUUCUACAUACCAUGCUUGGCCUGUGUGCAGACCAGGAAGAUUGCAAAGAUGUCACUCUCUGCUGCUCAGAGUUAUAUGCAAGAACAAACUGGGGUCAAUCCAAUAAGCAACCAAUGAAAAAUGAGAAUUACUGAACAAGGGCCCUUUGUUCCUUCCUUUUGCCCUACUAGCUUUCACACACAUACACACACACACACCCUUCCACCUAUUCUUGAACUUUCAUGGUUAUCUAAGCCAGGCUCUAGAAUAUCAUCAGCCUCUCUCAUGAAGUAGACACCCUGCUCACCAAAAUGUUAGCCCCCUUCCACUGUUGACACUGAACAAAACCACCUAAGCACUGCUCUGUGUCUCUGCCAGGAUGCACUUGUUUCACUUGCAAGCACGGAGAAGGCAAAGUCCAACAGUGUCAGAGGUUCUUUCUAGUCUUCAUCUGGAUCCUUAAAAACCCAUAGUAUAGCUGGGUGGUGGCAGCACACGGCAUUAAACCCAGCACUGAGGAGGCAGAAGCAGGGGAACCUCUGUGAGUUCAAGGCCAGCCUGGUUUACAGAGAGAGUUCCAGGACAGAUAGGGCUACACAGAGAAACCCUGUCUUGAAGAAAACCAAAACAAAAAACAAAAGAAAGAAAACAUUAAACAAAAACAAUGACCUGCACUAUAGCGUAGUUCUCUAUGGUUUUCUACAGUUUCAACUCAUCUACUUCAUGGAAAAGCUAUGACGUGGUGAACAUACGUGAGCAUGUGUGUGUUCAUAAACACUGAGCACAGCCCUAAGCACUGAAUCUUCACAACUCCCAUCUUACCACUUCUGUUUCAGGAGGAACAAAGGGAACGCGUGGCUUUGUAAAGUCACUGUUUGUAUUAACAAACAGACAUGAGCAGCCAGCCCAAUGGCAAACCCGCACCAUAUUUACUACUCUCAGGCUGUGAUGCCUUGCCACACUGAGAUAGACAAGACCACUUUACUAUCUCUGCCAAUAGACAGUGGAAAACUAAGUCGAUGAAUAUAAAUGUUGUGCCAGGGACAACACCCUCAGACUCUCAAUCCACUUCUCUGAGUUUGUCACUGCAUGUUUUCUGUAAACCCCUGGUGCUCUGCAAGCCUGUAACCAGAAUGACAGGUGUCACCUCAGAAACAUGAGGACUAUGCUUCCCAGCCUGAGCUAUCCCAUUUAUGGGAGAGUAUGUGCUUCUAAAAUCACCUCAUUGUUUUGGGUGGGGUAUAUAUAUAUGCAUAGAUGCAUAUACACAUACAUAUAUAUCUCACAUACUAAGCUGUGUGAGUAUCCAGUAUGAAGUAGCUAGAGAUGACAGGAUAAUUCCAGACGCAUAAAGAACAAAGUAAAUUUAAUAGUGUGGGCCUUGUUUAUACUCCUGCCAUCAACUUUAAUGAUGAGCCUAUUUAUGCUAAACUCCACUACAUUAUCGAAGUCAUUAGUGCCUGUAAGUAAGUGAUAAUGUGCUUGAAACUUCCACGAGGACAUGUGUAUUCCUCUGAGUCCUACACUUCCGUGUUGGGAGAUGCAGAGCCAGUGAAUAUUUUCAAACAUUCCCUCAGGGAUAGCUGUUAGGUCUUAUGCCCUGGAAAAUGAACGAGGCCUCACUCAAGUCUGAGAAAGAAAGUUAAAGAGGUGUCUUCCACUUUAAGGAUGUGGACAAAACUCAGUGAGCAAACUGCUCAUUGUGCAAACACAGGGCUCUGAUUUCAGAUCUCAAAUACUCACAUUGAAGCUGGACAUGGCAGCGCACAUCUUUAACCCUAAUGCCAUGAAAGCAGGGAUAGGAGGAUCCCUUGGCUGUCAGCCUAGUCAAAUAGAUGAGUUCCAGUUUCAAUGAGAGACCCUGUCUCAAAAGAAAGUGGAACGUGACAGAAGAUAACAACAUCAAACUCUAGCCUCCACAUAUGGGCAUGUGCUCUCAAGUGCACACACACACACACACACACACACACACACACAGAGAGAGAGAGAGAGAGAGAGA
rnacentral:lncRNA from 1 species